rnacentral:rRNA from 1 species
UCUGGUUGAUCCUGCCAGUCAUAUGCUUGUCUCAAAGAUUAAGCCAUGCAUGUCUCAGUACAGGCCUUUCUAAGGCGAAACCGCGAAUGGCUCAUUAAAUCAGUCAUGAUUCAUUGGAUUAAGCCAAGAAUUUACUUGGAUAACUGUGGUAAUUCUAGAGCUAAUACACGCAACUGAGCUCCGACCCGGUCGUCAGACUGGGGAAGGGCGCAUUUAUUAGAUCAAAAACCGAUCGGACUCCGGUCCGUCUCAAAUGAGCUGUGAUGACUCUGAAUAACUUAGCCGAGCGCUACGGUCUUCGUACCGGCGCCGUAUCUUUCAAGUGUCUGCCUUAUCAGCUUUCGAUUGUAGGUUAUACGCCUACAAUGGCUGUAACGGGUAACGGGGAAUCAGGGUUCGAUUCCGGAGAGGGAGCCUGAGAAACGGCUACCACAUCUAAGGAAGGCAGCAGGCACGCAAAUUACCCACUCCCGGCCCGGGGAGGUAGUGACGAAAAAUAACGAUGCGGGACUCUUCCGAGGCCUCGCAAUCGGAAUGAGU